rnacentral:rRNA from 1 species
GUUUCAUCCUCCGCGGUAAUACGGAGGGUGCGAGCGUUAAUCGGAAUUACUGGGCGUAAAGCGCAUGCAGGUGGUUUGUUAAGUCAGAUGUGAAAGCACGGGGCUCAACCUCGGAAUAGCAUUUGAAACUGGCAGACUAGAGUACUGUAGAGGGGGGUAGAAUUUCAGGUGUAGCGGUGAAAUGCGUAGAGAUCUGAAGGAAUACCGGUGGCGAAGGCGGCCCCCUGGACAGAUACUGACACUCAGAUGCGAAAGCGUGGGGAGCAAACAGGAUUAGAUACCCUGGUAGUCCACGCCGUAAACGAUGUCUACUUGGAGGUUGUGGCCUUGAGCCGUGGCUUUCGGAGCUAACGCGUUAAGUAGACCGCCUGGGGAGUACGGUCGCAAGAUUAAAACUUAAAGGAAUUGGCGGGG